CACCCACCCGUCACACAGCUUCUUCAGCCUGCUGCCAUCAGGGAGGAGACUGCAGAGUCUCCAGGCCAAGACCAGCAGACUGAAGGACAGCUUCAUCCACCAGGCUGUCAGGAAGCUGAACUCACUCCCGAACUUGCCCCCCCUUCCCUCUUCUGCCCAGGCACCACUGAACUAUGAUUAUCUGUCAUCUCUUUUAGAAGAAAACAAACAUAAACCCAGGUCACCGUAGCCACCAGAUCCAGUCUGUAUCCAGAUCAUAUGGUCACUCCAGUCACCCGGAUCCAGUACGUAUCCAGAACAGAUUGUGGAUCAGCACCUAGAGAGGACCUCUACAGCCCUGAAUGUUAGCAGAGACCAGGACAACUAUAUGAGCUACAGAGACAGAUCCACAGUAAAGACCUUGUCUCCUAGAUGGCCACCGGGACAAAACCACAGGAAAGAGAUGUUUCUUCUGCACAAUCUUACUUUGCUGCAGCCUAGAAUUGAACUGCUGGUUUCAUCUGGUCAGAAGAGAACUGUAUCACUAAGAAUGAACUCCAGCCAGUAAAAGUGUGUUUUGCAUGUCGUCCCCUUGGAAUUACAAGGUUCUAUCUGCGUUCUGAGUAGUUUUGAGAUAUUGAGCUUUAAAAUUUUUGUGUUCCAUAGACUUCUGUAGAUAGAACUUUUUUGUUUUUUCAAUAAAAAAUCCCAAGAUGUACACAACUUAAAAUAAAACAUCACAUAAUGUAAAUAAAUUUUCACAGAAUAAGAAAAUGUGAAUAACUCAAUUUUGACAAAAAUGUCAGAUAGAACCUUAUAAUUCCAAGGGGACGAUGUGCUAACAGUGCUGACCUAUUCUUGUUCAAAAUAUACAUAUAUUGCAGGGGUUGGCAAUGUCAUCACAUGGUUAAAAUUACCAUUGAAAUAAAAUGCACAUAAAAAGUG